UGUUUGGAGAGUUUGAUCCUGGCUCAGGAUGAACGCUGGCGGCGUGCUUAACACAUGCAAGUCGAACGCUGAAGCUCCAGCUUGCUGGGGUGGAUGAGUGGCGAACGGGUGAGUAUCAC
rfam:Enteractinococcus sp. TASWS1574 102, whole genome shotgun sequence.